rnacentral:rRNA from 1 species
GGCUGGAUAGCUGACGCAUGGUCCUCUGGGAAGCUUCAUGCGGUAUGGGAUGGGGUCGCGUCCUAUCAGCUUGAUGGCGGGGUAACGGCCCACCAUGGCUUCGACGGGUAGCCGGCCUGAGAGGGCGACCGGCCACAUUGGGACUGAGAUACGGCCCAGACUCCUACGGGAGGCAGCAGUGGGGAAUAUUGCACAAUGGGCGCAAGCCUGAUGCAGCGACGCCGCGUGCGGGAUGACGGCCUUCGGGUUGUAAACCGCUUUUGACUGGGAGCAAGCCCUUCGGGGUGAGUGUACCUUUCGAAUAAGCACCGGCUAACUACGUGCCAGCAGCCGCGGUAAUACGUAGGGUGCAAGCGUUAUCCGGAAUUAUUGGGCGUAAAGGGCUCGUAGGCGGUUCGUCGCGUCCGGUGUGAAAGUCCAUCGCUUAACGGUGGAUCCGCGCCGGGUACGGGCGGGCUUGAGUGCGGUAGGGGAGACUGGAAUUCCCGGUGUAACGGUGGAAUGUGUAGAUAUCGGAAAAGAACACC